CCUACGGGAGGCAGCAGUGAGGAAUAUUGGUCAAUGGACGAAAGUCUGAACCAGCCAAGUAGCGUGAAGGAUGACUGCCCUAUGGGUUGUAAACUUCUUUUAUAUGGGAAUAAAAUGUUCCACGUGUGGGAUUUUGUAUGUACCAUAUGAAUAAGGAUCGGCUAACUCCGUGCCAGCAGCCGCGGUCAUACGGAGGAUCCGAGCGUUAUCCGGAUUUAUUGGGUUUAAAGGGAGCGUAGGUGGAUUGUUAAGUCAGUUGUGAAAGUGUGCGGCUCAACCGUAAAAUUGCAGUUGAAACUGGCAGUCUUGAGUAAAGUAGAGGUGGGCGGAAUGCGUGGUGUAGCGGUGAAAUGCUUAGAUAUCACGAAGAACUCCGAUUGCGAAGGCAGCUUACUGGACUGCAACUGACACUGAGGCUCGAAAGUGUGGGUAUCAAACAGGAUUAGAUACCCCAGUAGUC
rnacentral:rRNA from 1 species